AAUAUUGAUCUUGCUUCCCUGACCUUCAGAAACCGAAUUGUAGCUAAGAAGAGGGAAUAGUGAAACGGUGAAACAAAAGGGAACAGUAGAUGAAAACGCAGCAGAUAAAAAAGGGUAAAGCUGGAAAUAAAUUUGGGGCUUUUGCAGAAUUGAUUUUAACAGCCGCAGAAGCUCCAAUUUGUGGCUUUGAGGAAACGUGGGUUUGGAGCUAGAUUCACGUUUGGUAGAAGCACUUUUGCAGUUACCCAAACAUCUUCAAAAAUGGUGAAAUGGCAUUUGAA
rnacentral:lncRNA from 1 species